CAUUUGGAGAAAAUGGUUGAUUCCCUUUAAGGAAUCAAGGUUAGCCUGCAGAGCUAAUAAAAGCCCCUUGGGAAAACUUGCCUGAUACCUUGUCUACAUACUCUCUGUACAGGAUUGCUAAUCUGUGGCUAUCAAGCUCCAAACGCUAAUGCAAAUAAAACCACACAUGGACGUGCCUUUUAUCCAAGGACCCCCAGACCAGCCCCAGGAGGAAACCUAGCUGCUGUUCCCCUCACAACACCUUUCUCCAGUAGUAUCAUCACCCCACCUACCUAACAGAAGUUAGGGUCUCCACCCCUGAAGGGGAGAAUGAGAGAGAACAAAGAAAGAAACUGGUCAGUCAGGCAGUUUGGGUGGAUCCUUGGUUGAAUUCUUUCAAGCAAAAGAACAGCCUGAAAACUCAAGCUCCAGGCACAGAUAAGGGAACUUGCACAGGGGAGCUUGCCUAGGACAUGCCCACAGCUGCAUAGAUAAGAAAGGCUACACAGGUGACUUGCCCAGACAUCUCUGCAAUGGAAAAUUCCAUCCCCUAACACAUGUGCAGUAAGGGGAACAAAGCAAUAUGGAGUAACUCAAGCUAAGGGCCCUCGUGCACACUGGGAGGACAAAGUGGAGCUACCAG
rnacentral:lncRNA from 1 species